rnacentral:rRNA from 1 species
UGUAUUAGAGCAGGUAUCAGGCUCAACAACGUUAGCCCAUUACACCUUGCCAAGCCACAUCCCCACGGAUAAACACAGCAGUGACCAACAUUAGGCAAUAAGUACACCAAACUUGACCUAGCCAAAACUCCCCCUGGCCGGCAAAUCUCGUGCCAGCAGCCGCGGUUACACGGGAGGCCACAGAUAAUUUAUAAACGGCGUAAAGAGUGAUCCCAGAUUUUAUUUUCACCUGCCAUCGGAUUCCAGAAUUUCAUCUUAGAGAUGAAACCCCAAGAUAUUAAGAACCCCUAAGAAUCUCGUCAACAGACCAUCUUACUCACGAAAACCAGGACACAAACUAGGAUU